UAUUUAGAAGCAAGACAGCUACUAAGAAAAUCCCUGACUCAUAACACAUCAGAGCUACAGUCUGACGAGGAAGAGGAGGAGAUUAAAGGCAGGAGAAAACAUAAACCAAUUAAUUUUUUUUGGAGACACGGACAAUGACAGCGAGGAGGAAGUGUUACCAAAAAAGAGAGCAAAAGGUUCACAGAAACCACUCCAAUCUGAGAAAAACCCUUCACCUCCUGUCAUACCCCCUCCUCCAAGCAGCAGUACUGUACCUCCUCCUCCCCUGUCUCCCCUGCCGAUGCUAUGCACUACUCCAGAGCCUCCCUGUACAUGGGUUCCAAAUAGAAGUCAUUCAGCACCAAUACCCAAGCAGCCCCCUACUGCAAGCCUGUACAGACCUGUCUGGAAGGGGGGGAGGUUAGGAACAGACAGUAUUCCCUGCUCUGAUAUCCUCUCUAGCAUCUAUCGGGGGGCACGACACAAAACACGUAACAUGGAACAUCCUUUCACAUAUUUUUUCUGACAGUGUUGGCAAGAGGAUAAGUUGGAAAGGUGCAAAUGGGGAAAAAAACAUUCAGUCAGAUGGCAACAAAAAACCUUGCUACUGUGUAAGCAGUU